UGUAAAGAAUUGGGGAGAACGAAGAGGAGAGAAGGAAAGGAGAAGAGAGAAAAAGUCUGGAACACUCCUCAUGACUUGCGUUUUUCUCUGUCGGUCUCUCAUCUUGCUCCACCGUACAUCACUUCCGAACCACCAUCACCUCUACGCGAAAAUGUCAUCAAACACCAUGCAUGCUUGUUCAGGCAAGAUCUCGAAAAUUGGAGAUGCAUAGUUUGUUUCUUCUCGGAUUGCAGAACUAGAAUUGGGUAAUUGUUUCUGGUUACCUAAUUUCAUUUUAAUGGCUAUCAAGAAAUGUAUGUGCUACCAACUAUAGGGGGGAAACGCAAUAUGCAUUCCUUUGUGUAAUUGUAUAAUGGUAGAGUGAAGCCUAAAAGUCUGCAUAUUAUGGUCAAAUCGGGAAGCAACACUACUCUUCUUCUAUAUGGUACCAGUGGAAUUUAGUGGAAGGGUACUAUGGAGAGGUGAACUCUGUUUCUGAGCUCAUGAUGUUUGUUUAUAACUUUAUAUGCAUGAAUUUCUGAUAGUGCCCUGUCAAUACAGCAAAAGAAACUUUUUGUUUUGAAUUCGGGGUUUAUUGAUUACUUGAUAGCAGAUAAGAUGGCCCAGGCCCCUCUGCUCUGCUAGGAUUAAGAGUGGGAUUUCUAUGGUUUUCAACUAAUGUUGUGGAUUUUUAACACUGAUAAUGUGAGAGCCCAAGCUCCAGAGGUAUACUCUGUGCUUGUUUUUAGAAGCAAGGUGUUAUUAUUUUCAUAUCUGGAAUGGCAAAUGCAAAGAAAAGGAUGGUAAUUGUUUUGGUGAAUCAACUUGAGUGCAUCUUAAUUAUAGGGAGGGGAUAAUGGUUGAAUUUUACUUUGGCUGGUCCAUGACUCCAAUAUCAUUUUUCUAUUUACCUCACCUUUGAAGUCGCAGUAACUUUCUUUGUAAAUAUGAUGUGAAUUUGUUUUGUUUCCCAACUUGAGAAAUUUGAAAU